rnacentral:pre_miRNA from 1 species
CGGUGUGUGAAUGUCCCACGUCAUGCCCUGUGAUGGUAGAAUAUACGGCAUAGCGUUUGGCCUUCCCGUACGGC